GGGCCCGCACAAGCGGAGGAACAUGUGGUUUAAUUCGAUGAUACGCGAGGAACCUUACCCGGGAUUGAACGCGGCAGGACGUACGGUGAAAGCCGUAUUCCAGCGAUGGUCUGUCGCGAGGUGCUGCAUGGUUGUCGUCAGCUCGUGCCGUGAGGUGUCGGCUUAAGUGCCAUAACGAGCGCAACCCUUAUCGCCAGUUACCAGCGUGUAAAGACGGGAACUCUGGCGAGACUGCCGGCGUAAGCUGCGAGGAAGGUGGGGAUGACGUCAAAUCAGCACGGCCCUUAUAUCCGGGGCGACACACGUGUUACAAUGGCAGGGACAAAGAGCAGCUACCGUGCGAGCGGAAGCGAAUCUCCAAACCCUGUCUCAGUUCGGAUCGGAGUCUGCAACUCGACUCCGUGAAGCUGGAUUCGCUAGUAAUCGCGCAUCAGCCCAUGGCGCGGUGAAUACG
rnacentral:rRNA from 1 species